UUCCAUAAGUUUAGUCAGAAUCUGUUUUCUUGUAACUUGAAACCAUUGGUUUGAGUCCUACCCUCCAGAGCAGGAGAAAACAAGCUUGUUCCCUCUUCCAUAUGACAGCCCUUAAGAUAUUUGAAGAUGGCUAUCAUAUCUUCCCUCAGUCUCCUCUUUUCCAGGCUAAACAUACCCAGCUGCUUCAA
rnacentral:sRNA from 1 species